ACAGAGGCCAUUUAUGACCUUAGAGGUGUGCCCCUCGAACCAUUUGAGGUGCGCGCCCUCUUUUUUACUGGGUUGGGGUUUUUAACCCUUCAACCCCAGGACUCUUUAGCCUAAAUUCCCCAUUCCCAACUUAUUCUCUCAAGACCAAUUCCUCAUCUCCUCUUCUAGAACACACACUCUUUACUCACUCUCAAAUUACUUGGGCAUUGUACAAAAGAGUGCAUUACAACAACAACCCCCAACCUCGGAACUCUUUGGCCCAAAUUCCCCAUUCCCAAGUUAUUCUCUCAAGACCAAUUCCUCAUCUCCUCUUCUAGAACACACACUCUUUACUCACUUUCAAAUUUACUUGGGCAUUGUACAAAAGAGUGCAUUACAACAACAACACACAAGUUAUAACCACUUUUCUCCACAAAAAUUCAAGAAGAGUAAGGUAAAUUGGCCACACUUCAAGUUUAUCUUUUUACCAUUUUUUUUCUUUACUUUCCUUGGGAAUUUGAUAAAAACUAUGAAAUAAAUGGAGAUUAGGCUUAGGUAGUGAAUGGAUUGUAGCUAUGUUGUGAUUUUUUCUGGAUUGUCCACUUUGAGUUAAUUAUUCUUGGAAUUUUUAAGUAUGUACAUAUAGUGUUUGAUAUAAUGCCUCUAUGAAGCGUUUGGUGGAAGUUGUACACCAUGUUUUCACACAAUUCAAUAGUUUUACAUAGAUUAACACCCCCUCAUAUCCUUGCAUUCUGAAAGAAUCUUGAUUUGCAUUAAUUUGGAAAAAGACGUAAGUUUUAACAUGUGUUUUCCAAUUUUUCCAGCUUGCGGCCGUAGGUUGCAGCCACAGUCCCUGCAUUGCGUCCCCUACUUCUCAGCAUCAAGUCUUGUACAUCCGGCUCCCAUUUUCCUAUCCAUUAUGUCAUCUUUGGACUCAUUAGAGCUAUUAUGUCAUAUACUUGGACAAAUACUUGAUUUUCUCAUGUUUCACAAGAGUGGCACCAAAAAGGAAAGAUGCCCCUACGUCCUCCAAAGAAAAGGGCAAAGUCUCUACAUCCAAUACCACAGCACGCACUCAUGUCGAUGACAGAGGCAUGAGGAGAUUCCAGAGUUUGGAUCAUAAGACGAUAUUUGAUAGCAUCUUGGCCAAGAGGAAGAUGUGGCUAGAAAGACAACUAAUAUUGGAGGAUUUUAAGGAUUAUGAAAUUGAGAUUUUUAUACAUAGAGCAUGAUGGGCACAUGUGAUUGCAAAACCAUGGGAGAUUUACCCUACUUUGGUACAUGAGUUCUAUGCAAAUUUCAAUCGCUAGAUUGACAAUCCUGGGACAGAGUGUGAACAUUACACUUGGGUAUGAGACAAGUGGGUUUUGUUCUUCAUAAGGUUAUUGGAGCAUAAUAUGGAUACAGUUAUCUACUUGCUUAAUAGGAGAGUAGAUGCAGGGGAUGUGGAUAAUGAAUUUGAGCACAAUAUGCUAACCCAAUCUUUUACUAUAUUGAUGAAGUUCAUUUGUCACAAUAUCGAGCAUACCGCCCAUUUGAUUACAUCAACCUUUGCAAAAGCGGGGUUGCUAUUUCACUUGGCCGGGGACUUGAAGAUCGACUUAGGCACGUUCAUAUAUAAUCAGAUUUGUGGGUUUGCUAUCAAGCUAGAGCAUUACUAGACAUUAAUUUUUUCCGACCUCAGCAAGGGGAUUUUCAGAUCUUUUGGGGUCAGCUUCUUUCUGCGAAGCAGUUGACUUGGGCCAGUGUUGCUAUUAAUUGUAAGAUAGCAGAUCAUUUUUGGAGAGCUAUCAUACGAAGCAGACAGUAUCAGCAGUAGGAGGAGGUAGCUGAAGGAUAUGGGGAUGCCACCCAAUUUUCUCAGCAACCACAUCCAAACCCUACUGUCAAUCAUCCAUUCAUGCGAUGGUUAUUUGCUAGUUCGACUAAGACCAUCCAAAGAAUUCAGGACAUUCUGCAGUCACUUGGAGCUUGCACUUAAGAGUUCAAAGUAUAGAGAAGACUGCUCAAGGCAUACAAGGUGAUGUGAAUGUGAUACGUUUUGAUGCGUCCAGUACGAAUAGAAGGAACGACAUGCUUAGGAAGAGUAUAAAUAGAUACUCAGGACGGAUUGACGAGCUGAACAUCGAGUUGAUCAGACUAAUGAUCUAGUUUUGAGACAUCCAAGGCCAGGUUGAUGAGACAUAUGACAUGGUAUGCUGCAUGCAGGUUGGUUGGAUCAGACAUACAAUUUGAAGCAAAAGAUUCUCUCGCGUAAGCCUCCAUCAUCAUCUUUAGAUCCACGAGGCUCGGGAGCAUUCCAUCCAUUUUCACCACCACCUUCAGACUAACCAGUGGAGUUCUCAGGUAUCCUCUUUGCCUUUCUUUUUUGCAUUACUAAUAUCAUAUUAUUGUACAUUGAGGGGAAUGCACAAGUUAAGUUUUGUGAUAGAUGGUUUUAUCAUUGAUUUUGUAUAGUUUACUGCUUUUGUUAUGUUUGUCGAUUGUUUAAAAAAAACCAACCUGCAAUGAAUAGGGAAGGUAUGGUAAUGCUAUGAAUGACCUAGUAUCGAAUACUGGUAAUAAUAUCAGCAAAAGAACGUUCUCGUGUGCUUCCAGACAUGCUCUCCUUUAUGCUUUUAUAUCUCUUUUCUGUACUUGUGUGGGUUUGAUAGUCUUAUUGAAUAGAG
rnacentral:lncRNA from 1 species